rnacentral:rRNA from 1 species
CCUACGGGUGGCAGCAGUGGGGAAUAUUGGGCAAUGGGCGCAAGCCUGACCCAGCAACGCCGCGUGAAGGAAGAAGGCUUUCUGGUUGUAAACUUCUUUUGUCAGGGACGAAGCACGUGACGGUACCUGACUAAUAAGCCACGGCUAACUACGUGCCAGCAGCCGCGGUAAUACGUAGGUGGCAAGCGUUAUGCGGAUUUACUGGGUGUAAAGGGCGUGUAGGCGGGGAAGCAAGUCAGAUGUGAAAACCACGGGCUCAACCUGUGGACUGCAUUUGAAACUGUUUUUCUUGAGUGCUGGGGAGGCAAUCGGAAUUCGGGGUGUAGCGGUGAAAUGCGUAGAUAUACGGAGGAACACCAGUGGCGAAGGCGGAUUGCUGGACAGUAACUGACGCUGAGGCGCGAAAGCGUGGGGAGCAAACAGGAUUAGAUACCCGAGUAGUC